UACGAAGGGGGCUAGCGUUGUUCGGAUUUACUGGGCGUAAAGCGCACGUAGGCGGAUUGUUAAGUCAGGGGUGAAAUCCCAGAGCUCAACUCUGGAACUGCCUUUGAUACUGGCAAUCUCGAGUCCGGAAGAGGUAAGUGGAACUCCUAGUGUAGAGGUGGAAUUCGUAGAUAUUCGCAAGAACACCAGUGGCGAAGGCGGCUCACUGGCCCGGUACUGACGCUGAGGUGCGAAAGCGUGGGGAGCAAACAGG
rnacentral:rRNA from 1 species